AAAUCUCUAGUUUAUAUAGAACAUCUCUCUUACACAGAGGAAGUUAGUUAGAUUUU
rnacentral:tRNA from 1 species